GAUUUCCUUCGGUAUCUGCUUUUGACUUCUGUUUGCUUUCGAGUCAGGCUUAUAGCUUGAUAGCAGGUCAUUUUGUUGGACCUUCAGAACCUGCUCUUUGGUUGUACCUUGUACCUUUCCUUUAUGUUUAGUUAGUGCUCCAAAACUCUGAACUUAUAUAAACUCUUGUAUUAAGACAAUUCAAUUAUAUUAUGAAGUUGAUUUUGUUAUUAA